rnacentral:misc_RNA from 1 species
GAUGAAGAACGCAGCGAAAUGCGAUAAGUAAUGUGAAUUGCAGAAUUCAGUGAAUCAUCGAAUCUUUGAACGCACAUUGCGCCCGUCAGUAUUCUGGCGGGCAUGCCUGUUCGAGCGUCAUUACGCCCCUCAAGUCCCCUGUGGACUUGGUGUUGGGGAUCGGCGAGGCUGGUUUUCCAGCACAGCCGUCCCUUAAAUUAAUUGGCGGUCUCGCCGUGGCCCUCCUCUGCGCAGUAGUAAAACACUCGCAACAGGAGCCCGGCGCGGUCCACUGCCGUAAAACCCCCCAACUUUUAAUAGUUGACCUCGAAUCAGGUAGGACUACCCGCUGAACUUAAGCAUAUCAAUAAGCGGAGGA